AGUCGGCCGGUCUGUCGCUUGCGCAGUUUGCGCAGGAGGAAAGUCCGGGCAACGCAGAGCAUCCCACUUCCUAACAGAAAGCCGUCCGCGAGGGUGGAGUAACGCAGAAGAAAAGAACCGCCUGCGGAGUCAUCCGUAGGCAAGGGUGAGAAGGUGGGGUAAGAGCCCACCAGCCUUGUGGCGACACAAGGGCUGUGCGUCUUGGGAGUUGUAAGGUCAUGUAAACCGGCGUUAAGAGAGUUGCUCGCUCCAUGUCGGAGGGUAGACCGCUAAAGCCGCAUGGUGACAUGCGGACGAGAUAAAUGACAGGCGUCCCGUGGCUUCCACGGGAAACAGAACCCGGCUUACAGGCCGGCUGCU
rnacentral:RNase_P_RNA from 1 species